GGCUAAGUGUUGAAGUGGUUAGCACAUUCGCCUCACACCGCCAGGGUUGGGUGUUCGAUUCCUGCCGCAGUCC